UCUGAAAUGGUCACCAUCUCUGUUUUAACCACAGGCGGCUAGUGUUCAGGAAGACACAGAACAUCAUGAAUUCACAAGUCAUAACAAGGUUGAUUAGAGUGGAUGGCAACUGCAGUCCAACAAUAUGUAGAAGGCCAUGUCUGGUAUGGUGCACCUUUGAGAAACACUUUCAACAGAAGAAAUCUUGCAUCUGUGAACAAGGCUCUAGACAAGUUAGAAAACGGAAAGUAACAAAUUAACAGCAGAAGACAAAACAGCAGUGACCUACAAAAGAGACAUCAAGCAAGAAAGGAAACAAAGGACAUGCAAAGAGAGAAAAAGCACACAGAAAAGGACA